rnacentral:rRNA from 1 species
AUUGAACGCUGGCGGCAGGCCUAACACAUGCAAGUCGAACGAGUGGCGGACGGGUGAGUAAUAUAUGGGAAUCUACCUGGUGGUGGGGGAUAACUACUGGAAACGGUAGCUAAUACCGCAUACCAUCAGAUGUGCCCAUAUGGGAUUAGCUUGUAGGUGGGGUAACGGCGCACCAAGCCGACGAUCCAUAGCUGGUCUGAGAGGACGACCCGCCACACUGGGACUGAGACACGGCCCAGGCUCCUACGUGAGGCAGCAGUGGGGAAGUUUGGACAAUGGGCGCAAGCCUGAUGCAGCCGUGCCGCGUGUAUGAAGAAGGCCUUCGGGUUGUAAAGUACUUUCAUUAGGGAGGCGUGACCUACAGAAUAAGCACCGGCUAACUACGUGCCAGCAGCCGCGGUAAUAC